CAAAUUAGAGCUUGGUAAGAGUAUUUUAUUUACACUAAAAAGGAAAUUGGGAACAAUUUAAUUUGA
rnacentral:tRNA from 1 species